rnacentral:lncRNA from 1 species
UUUUCUUUUUUUUUUUUUUUUUUUUUGGGUAAACCUUAAAUCUGCAAUUACCAGCUUAUAAUUACGAUUGAAAUUUAAACACUAAAUAUUUGCACCAAAUGUACUACUAACAUUUAUUGGGGCUAAAACCAAACUGCCUGUUAGCCAGGUCGAAACUGACACGUGUCCCUUGCUGCUGCACAUUACCGAUAAUGGACAGUGAACUCGUCGGAGCAAAUGCCAAACAAAAUUUCCCCCGCCCAUCAACCGGCACCAAGUAAUUACUCGGCUUCAAUGACAGCCUCUUCCCACUCGCAAACAAAAGACACCGUUGGAACCCUCACCGAACCGCCGACUGAUGAAAAAUCAUAACACGUGUCGAACAAAGAGAACCCACUGGACGAAGGCAAAUCUGAUGCGUACUUCUUAAACGCAUCGCGCAGCGCGUUAUACGCCUGUGUAUUCAACCGAGUCACAGCCGUUCCCGAGUCAACUAUAAUCCUCCGCGCCCAUUUCCGUCCACCUGGAAAACCGACGCCGGAAUCGAUAGAGUCUCGCCGCCGACAUUUAUCCGACCAUGUCCAGUAAUAAAAUAGAUCCAGUUUGGGUUUCUAACCAUCGAAGCAAAGACUGAGUCACCGGGUGGGGCUGAGUUAAAAUCCAGAGUCGAAGACGAGCUGGAGUCGCGGUUCACUAAACAGUAAGAAAACGACGUCGCUCUCAGUCGGCCAGGCAAUGAUAAAGGGGCUCGAGCCAGUCCAACUAAGCCAGCCGCACCAACAAACAAGCCCACAUUAUCAUGCCCGCAUCCGAUGGGUACGUCACUACCGAACCCGAGUUCCCAAACGACACCGUAUCAGUAGCUAAAUCCCCCAUCGUGUAGGACCCAUCCCCGUAAUUAAUCUGAUAAAUACACUUCCCAUCACUACACCCUGAAAUCUGGAGCUGCGAGCAUUCCUGUGCGGAGCAAGAAACGGUUCGGUAAGUCGAUGACGAACUCGGGUCGAAUAUCGGGUCGGUUUGUUGGUAGCAGUCGGCGCAGGGCUGGCAUUGGAGCCAGCUGAGGUCGCUUCCGGUGUCGAUAACCAUGUAGUAUGAUCUGCCUGGUCGACCCACGCCCAUACGGGCAAAGUACUCUCCGCUUCCCUGACUUACCCCGGAAGUUAACGGCGUCUCCAGGUCCUCCGGUUGGACGGCGGUCGGAACCGGUUUGAGGUCCGCUUGGGUGUAGCCGGAGAGAGCGAACUCGAGCUUGGAGUUGAGAGAGUUAACUUGGGCCGAGUCACGGGCGAUACGGGCGCGCGUGAGGGAAGAAUAAUCUUUGUGCUGCGGUUUUUUCACGGAAGCCCUUGGGUGCAGUGAAAAUGAGAGAACCGAAGAGUUAUGUUGUGCGGUGGCAGUGAUGGUAGGCUUAGCUUCUUCUUCCUGCUGGGCUUGUGGGGUUUGAGUGAAAACUUGAUGGGUUUUUUGGAUAACGGCUGAAACAUCAAAAAUUUGGUAGCUGUUGUGUUGAUGAUCACGAAUGGAAUUCGAAACAGAGGUAAAGGAAAGCAAGAGAGCGAGAACUAAGAAGAAGGAGAGAAUGGGGCUUGGAGUUUGAGCCAUGUAGUCGUCGUUGUUGUGUUCUUGAUAGGUUCAGAGGAGUGAGUUAAAGUGAGAGCUGGGAAUGGGGCUUAAGUAAAGGACGUAAGGCAAAGGAGGGGCAGGGAAAGGACGGGGAAGGGUUGGGGGGUCCUCAGGUCAGGGUUGUUUCCUGUUGAGGAUGAGAACAAGAGGAGCAUUUAAAGUUUGAAAGAAGCAUGAAACCCGCUCUCUAAAGUUAAUCCUCUUGACAUUUUCCUUUUUCUUUUCUUUUUCAGGAGUUUGGGUAUUGGUGGCAAUGCAUGGAUUGGGCUUGGUUAACGCAAUGGAUUAAUUUUCAUUCAUUUUUCGACCUUGAUUAUAGUAGUAUUUUAGCUUUCGAGUUUGGAUGUUUGAUUAGGAAAUCAACUUGUUGAUUUUAAAGUGUGGCUAGUACGUCCAGUAACAGAUCCGAGAUCUAACUGUUUGGAUAGGAUAUUAUUUGAAACAUUAUUUAGCAUAAUUACUGUAAUAUUGUUUGUGAUGUGAUGUAUGUGGGAUAAAAAGGUGAUUGAAAAUAUAAAAAGAUGUGUUGAAAAAUAUGUUUAUGAUGAAAGCAAAAUAUUAUUAUUUGAGAUAAUUUCACUAUCCACCGGACAAACCAUUUGUUAAUGAAGCCUCGUGCAAAGCUUGUCUUCUUGUUCUUUCGUGAUUUCUUGUGAAUCCCUUCUUGUUGUUUGCCUGGUUUUUUAUUUGUGCUGCAGAGAAACUCCAGAGUCGAAACUCCUGUUGUUUUAUUCACAUUCUUUCUUUUUGAGCUAUUCACAAUCUUUCUACUUGAUGCUUUUAUCUUUUUUCUUGUCGGUUGAGUGCAAAGAUGGUUGGUGCAAGUGAUCUCUCUUCCCUCUGUCUAUCUUUAAUUUUAUCUUAUUGUUAUAAAUGAUGGUGAUGCUUGACGGCUCUUUGCGUGGUGGUGGUGGCGAGUUCUCUGAAGCCACGAGAGAUUUUAGUGAAUGCCCAAGAGCAAUGGUUCAUUUGGUUUUGGAGGAAACUGACUCUCUAACUACUUUUGUUUCAUUAGAUAGAUCCACCUGUAUAGAGGCUGCAAGAUUGGUAGUUUGGGAAGUGAUUUGCUGUACUGCAGUUAAUGUAGUUAAUGUUGUUGAAUCUUUUGUGGUGUAAGAACUCUCCUCAGGGCACCCACGAACUGCGAGUGCUAAUGCCAAUUUGUUUGAUUAGUGAUGCACAAUUGCACAUGCAGCUGAAGGCUUGAGACCUCACGUACCAAAUGGCUAAUUGGAUGAUAAGUUACGGUACCUAAUCGAUCAAUGUUCUUAUCGUUCACGUUCCAAGUUUACUUGGAAACUCAUGUGCAAUCAAACUCUGAAGAAAAGGACAAUCAUGUUCGUAAGUUUUCCAAUUUAUGUUCUGAUAGAUCAUCCCCUUUGAAUGGCAUCGGAUGAGAAUCAAAGUGCUACCUUAUCUUCGUAGUUUUUUGAUGCAUUAGAAAAGGGAUAAUUGCACAAACCUCCCUUGAUGUAUCUCAAAUUUUCACUUAGCACCCUUUAAUUAAAAAAAAAUCACGUGUCUUCCCUAUUUUUAACUUUUUGUAACAUUGACAACCUAUUACAAAACAAAAUAUUUAAAAACUCAAAUUUUGGAUAGCGGAGAUAUUUUCAUUCCAAUUGUGCCCUUUGUCGUCUUACUCUUUUUUUUUUUUUUUUUCAAAUUGAAAGCAUGUAAAAAAAGCUAAAAAUAAAACAAACGGUACAAAUGUGUAAAUUUUGAUUGAUACAGUAUAAUCUUAGAUAUUUUAAUGUACCAACAAAUUAUUUUAAUAAUAUAUUCAAAGGGUUUUCAAGUCAAAAAGAUUAUUCCUUUAUUAUAAAGUGCUUUUGGUUAAUUUGAGGAGCUUUUCAAAAUUUUAAAUUUUUUAAAAUUUUCUAAAUUCCUUUUCUAGAUUGAUGGCUUGUAAAUCAUAAAAAAGGCAAUAUAUUUAUGUUCACAAACUUACUUGAGGUUUUCUCAGACAUCACAAAUUAUUGUUUUUAAUUGAGAAGUGUUUAUGGAUGAAAUUAAGGAUUUAAGAAUUGUGUACAAUUUUUUUGAAUUUUAUAAUUCUUUGACCAGAUCAAUGGCUUGAAAACUUGAAUAAGAUAAAAUUCUUAACUAUAAAUUUAAAAACAUAUUUGAGGUGUUUUCAAGGUGAAAAAUGCUAUUAUUUUCAGUGUACAAUUCUUAGGCAACUUUUGUGAAUUUUCCAAAUUACUUAGAUUUUUAAAUUUUUAGUAUGUUUCUUGUUAACACGAAAAUUAUUAAUAGGUCUUUCAACCUUGUUAACACCUUGCAAUUCCUAACUAAAAAAUACAUCGGCCAAGUGUUCAAAAGUUAAGAGAUUAACUGGUUUUGUUAUGUCAACAAAAUGGUUCACAAGAGAAGGGCAAUACUGAAAUGAAAUUAUAUUCUCUAUCUACAAAUGAGUUUUUUUUAAUAAUAUAUUUGAAAUGGGUUGGCAAUGUUACAAAAAAGUUAAAAAUAAGGAAGGCAAGUGAUUUUUUAAAGUUUAAAGGUGCUAAGUGAAAUUGCCACAAACCUCAAGGGAGAUUUCUGAAAUUAUUCCUGUAAAAAAAUUACGUCUGGGCAAGGUUAACCUUGCAUUUGCCGAGACCAAUAAGUACUGAAUUUAGUGAGAUCUCCAGAUGCCUGAAGGAUGGACUAUCAUUGGCAAUCGGCAAAUAAUGCAGUAUGGCAGGGCAGUUGCUGCGAAGUAAAUUGAAACGAAGGGAAAACCUUAUACGCAGUAAUGCAGGCAAGAAUGUCAUUAUCCGUAUGAACAAUAUAAUCCAAAAAAGAAAAAGCCAAAAAGAGUUAAUCCAUUUUAUAUUUUUUCUGGAGAAAAAAUAUUAACCUAAGAGAUUAUUGCCAAGUCAUCACAUAUAUAUAUAUCCUAAGACGUAUAAAAAAGGGGAGUUGGCUGAUAUCUCAUAAGAAGUGAUGGUCCCGUGUGGGCACCAUCAGUAGGUGGUUAAUUAUGGAAUUUCACUUUGAUGUUUGGGUGUUAGACAGAUACGAUGGUGUUGUUAGCUUACGUGGAAGCAAUUAGGAGUUUCUGAAGUUGCAUGUCUUGUACACUAUAGUAAACAGCUUUUGCUAAUGUACGAACUACCAAAAUGUAUGCACAUAUAUUAUAAACUAUUGCCUUCCGUGAAUUCACAUAAAAGCUCCAAGUUUCGAGUUAAUUUUCCUCAAUCCUUGGCAUUUGAACCUCUAAUGCUAUGCUUAAACCUGAUAUUUUUUUUUAUCUGUUUAAUAGUUGCAUGAAAUAAUAUACAUGAUUAAACUCAUCUUUUUGCAUUAAAGUAAAACUUUAGCAUAGAAAAGUUACUCCUUUGAAUAUUUUACUAAUGAAUUAAAAAAAACUAGAUCUUAUCGUUAGUGACAUGUAUAAAUUAAACUUAUAUAUCUCAGUUUUCCCAAAAAAAAAAAGACUUAUAGUCUUUAAAACAGCUCCUGAAAUACAAUAAUUUAGUCUCAUAAACUGUCCUAUUUAAUGUCUAACUAUUUGUAUUGUCAAAUUUUUCUUUUCAAUCUUCCAUUGAUUUCUCAACUAUGAGAUUGCAUCUCCCAGAUGAUUGCAACUUACAAACUGUAAUGUAUUAGAAGUAAGUGUCUUGCACUCAAAUAAAUCCUCCAAUUUAUGAAUACUUGGAUAGUAAAUUACCUGCCAAAAUAAGAAAAUUCCAAAUUAGCUGUCUGCUGAUUCCCUCUUCCUAUUUGGUUUCCUAAUGAAUCAGUUUUGUUGAGCCAAUAGAUGCUAUUCAAAUACCAUUUAAAUUAUUCUUAGUGACCACGUCCAAUACCUUAAUUGUCUAGGUUUUAAUUAAGUAUCGUUAAGCAAAAUUGUUUUUUCAAAAAUUAUUACUCCUCAGAAAUUUAUUUGGAUUUUCUCUGAUUAUUUUACAAGCAUCACUAAUCGAUAAAUACUCUUCCAUUCUUUAUAGCCACAAAUUUUUUUUUUUUAUGACUUUCAUCUGGGCAACAUCAUGCAUCGCAUGAUGCCCCAACAAACUAGUAUAUAUAUAUAUAUAUAUAUAUAUAUAUAUGUAUGUAUGUAUGUAUAUUUUGGGGAAGAUGUUGCAUUUUUUCCUGUUUCUCUUGCAACACUUGCCUAUCUAAGGAAGAGCCACGUAUUCUUAUAUGUCAUGCUCCGAUCAUAAUCAAGAAAGUGAUUAUUCAUAUCAACAAUAGAAUCUAAAAAAAAAUGAAAAAGAGUUAAUUCUCUUUAUAUUUUUCUUCAAAAAAAUAUUAACCUAACAUAUUAUUAUCAAGCCAUGUCCUCGUGUGCGUGUGUGUAUAUAUUUUUUUGGGAAGAUGUUGCAUUUUUUAUGUUCCUCUUACAACACUUACCUAUCUAAAGGAAGAGCCACAUGUUCUUAUUUGUCCAGCUUCGACCAUAGCCAAGAAAGGGAUUAUAUUAUUUAAAAUAAUUAUUGUAGCAUUUUUUGUGAUGUGAUGUAUGUGAGAUAAAAAGAUGAUUGGAAAUAUAAAAAGGUGGGUUGAAAAAUGUGUUUAUGAUACAAGCAAUUUGAGAUAUUUUUGCUAUCCAAACACUCCCAUAUAAUCCGAAAAAAGAAAAAACAAAAAAAAAGUUAGUUCUUUUUUUCGUUUAUUAUCCAACCAUGUCCUUGCAUUAUAUAUAUAUAUAUAUAUAUGUUGCAUUUUUUCUGUUCCUCUUUACCACACUUGCCAAUCUAAGGAAGAGCCACGUGUUCUUGUUUGUCCAGCUUUGACCAGAGCCAAGAAUGCUCAAAACCAAUUUUAAAGCAGUAGAAGACGGAAGAGGUUUUAACUACUAAGAAAUUGACUUGCAUUGGAAAUAAAAUGACAGCUGCUUAGAUGUUGGAAUCAGAGCAUGACCAUUAGUACAUUUUUAGUUGUUGGGGGAAAUAGCUUUUAGCUUUCCAAGGCUGCACUUGCACCAAAUCAUUUCAGACUUUUACUCCCUCCGUCCCAUUUUGAUAGUCCUAUAUUCCUUUUUCAUCUGUCCCAAAGUGUAGUCCACUUUCCAAUUGAAGAAUGUAGUUGUAUUUUAAUUUUUCUAAAAUACCCUUAUUCAAUGUAAGUAAUUAUUACUAUAAACCUACCCCAUUUAAUAAGAGUUAUUCUUUUUUACCAUCAAUUCAAAUUCCCAUAAAGUUGCACCAUAUUUAAUAUGAGGGUAUUUUAGAAAAAUAGCAAUCUAAAUUUACUUUUCCAACAAAGUUAACUACUUUUUCUUAAACUGUGUGAAAAAAGAAACAGGACUAUCAAAGUGGGACGGAGGAGUAUUAAAUUUAACACGCAGAAAUUUAAUCCCUCUUUCACUAAGUAAUCCUGGAAGACAGCAACAAAUCACCCAAGUUUUAAAAUGUCUGCGAGCGUAAAAUUCUUCAUGGUCACUUAGAUAGCACGUCAAUAAUGUUGCUACACGAGCCCCAAACGGAGGAUAUUAUAAUCCCCACUAGGUAACAUAAUUAUACAACAUUAGCAACGAUCCGCGAGAGUACAGUAUAUAUAGUACAUUGUUUGGGCGCCUAUAGAGCAGGAUAUUAAAACCGAACAACCCAUACCGUCAGCAAACUAAUCAAAGUGAAGUCAGCUCCAUGAAUUUCUGUCUAAUGUGAUAAUUGACCGCACACAGUAAGUACUUUUACGGGCAUUUUCUUUGAACAUAAGAAGCUCCAUGUUCCUCGAACCUGUUAAUCAAGAGACAAAAGAUUAAUAUGGGGAGAAAAAAGGAGAAAAGUUGAGUAUUGAAGGUGAGUGGAUGCAAAGCUUACUCAGAUUUGAAAACCACAUUUGCUGAAAGGAACCAAGCGACGCCAAUAUACUCCCACCUAUCCAAACACUGAAUGCGACAGUUAGUCAACGCGUAGGAUGCUAACAUGAAUGCAAAGAAAUAUCCUCUUCAAUUCAAUCAUAAACAGAAGCAAUUUGGUCUAAACAUGCAACUUUGGAGGAAGCACUGAGGCAAGGAAUAGGAAUGAAACAAAAGCAUAUCUGCCAGUUACCACAUGAUUUACCCUCUCCAUAUGGCGAAUUCCUAAGUGACACGUAACAUCAAUGCUGUAACCUAAUGGCUUUUCUAUUGAGCCACCUCCCAAAGAGAUGCCGAUUUAUAUAACAAUUCCAAUGUUCAACCAGAAAAUUUGGUUGAGAAGAAAUGAAAAUAACAUGGGAAGGAAAGGACAACAGCAAUCUACAUCCACCCAUCUACACAAGCAGAAGAUAGAACACAUUGAUUUCCUUUUUCAUUUUUUUUAAUUUUUUCCCAUCAAGCAAGUUAGUCUACCUGAAUCUCCUUUCCGUUGCAUUUCCACUUGCCAAAACUUUCACUCUAGCUGCUUGAGGAGAUUCCUGCAAACGGUAGACCCAGACAUAAGAAAAAUCUCAAGCAUUAACUAAAACCACUGGACAAACUUGAAUCAUCACGUUGCAAUAAGCUGUGUAUUCUCUCAACAUUAAGCAUUUGAUAUCAGAAAUAACUAGAUAGCCGCAUGUCUGAUCUUUCUUCCUUCCCUUUCUUUCAUCUUUUCCUUCAUCACACAACUUUGGGCUUCUGAGUUUCCUUUUUAUUUUCCCUCUCCUCUUUUGGGAGAGUACCAGAACAAGGACUUCUUUUUCUUUUAAAUACAGAAAUCUGACUGAAAAAAACCUACCUCUAGCAAGUCUUUCUCCAGACGUUCCUUUAACUGUUGCAUGGAUGCAGUGCCACCAGCAAGCUGUGUAAGGUUGAAAUCAAAUCAGAUACUAUAUGAUCCACUCUUCUAAGUACAAGAUAUGUUUCCUAAAGACAACACAAAAGGAACUAUGCAAAUACAUGAUCUGGGGGACAGAACAGAAACUUGAGUGGAAGACAUCAUCUUUAAGAGUCAUUGAGCUAAAACAAGCUUAAAAAGAAGUUAGCAAAACUAAAUAUAACAGCAGGAAUCCUUGAUGUGCAUCUGCACUGAAAAAAGGACAAAAAAUAAUAUCCUGCUACUAUAGGAAUAUCAUCAGAGUGAAAAAGUAGAAUUAAGUGAGAUGUCUGAGUUUGUGGAGAGAGGGCAAAUUUAUUGGGACGCAGCCAAUUAUGCAUAAAUACUAUGAAGAGAAUAUAUGGGAAGCUGGAAAUCCAAGGAAAAAGGGGAACAGCUGCAAUGAAGCACUACAUACAAGGUUUACCUCACUAAAAUUGCAGAGAUUUUAGAUAAUCAACAGGGGAAAAAAUAAUUUAUGUCGACAGAAAAAAAAAGUCUAGAUAACAGCCUUAUACAUUUUGGUGUAAUUAAGGUACUUAUUCACAUUGAAGGGUUGAAAAUUUACCAGUAUACUGCUGAAGAGUUCUCUCCUAAUAUCCACAUCACACUUAUUUAUGCUCUCCAAGACCUGAAGAAUUUUAGAAGGAUAUAUUGUAAAAGUAAAAAGAGAAUAAUGGUAGCUAGAUCCCCAGCUCAUGGAUAAAAGUGCAAAAUGACAGGAAUUACCAUUUGUGGCAGGCCACGAACAGAAGAGCAGUCUCGGCAAAAUUCUCCAUACCAGGAAUAGUCUGACAGAUUAGAUCAUGUCAGUAAAUGGAAUUUCAAAUCAAACCAAAAGCAAUCAAGAGAAUUCAAAAUGCAUCAUUUGUCAAAAAAACUCAUCAGCAUCAUUUGUCAAAAUCCAUCAUUUGUUUCUCUAGUUAUUUGAUAAUUUGAACCAAGACAGUAUAUUAGUUAAUCUAAACUCAUCAGCAUAAAGGUCUCUAAAAGUAGCCCAUGCAAUGAGGCAUAUGUUUAGGCAAUUCCGGUCAGUGCUAAACAAGUCUAAUAUAGCAGCAAACCUCAUCGCUUCUUGUCUUUAUAAGCAAGAUUUAUUGGACAAUGAAUGUUCCAACAAAUGAUGAGAAAGACCUCCUAAAGGCCAGAGCAGGAAACUGCCACAAGCCUUACUUAAUUCUUUGCUAGAUGUGCAUUUUCAGACCAUCUUUAUUUUCCAAUGGCAAUUAAUAAAGUCCUAAAAGCCUAGCCAAGAAAAGGAUAUCCAUGUUGAGCCAAAAAUUUGAGCUAUGAUUCUCCAACCGUGCAUGGUUUACGAGAUCUGCAUACUUAAGAAUAUGACGCUUAAAUUUCAAAGCAGAGAAGAAAGGUAAAAGUUUAACUUGCAUACGUCACGACAAGCUCCACAUGUUCUGAGAACAUGAAAAUAACUAAAUCCAAUUGGAAGAACAUUUGAGGUGAAAAAUAUAAAAUUACAAAUCUAACUAUAAGCUUCAACUCUUAGGGAGGAGAAUUGGUCAAACAAAUUUAUAAUUUUUGUAUCAAGGAUUAGAUUAUCUUAGUAAGCUCGUGCUGUGCAAUAUACAUAAGCAGGAUACUCUGCUACUUUUAUGUGAUGUAGAUACUUAAACUAUUUGUCAAGUCAGUGAAAGACAAACAUGAUGAAAAUCAUAGGGGAGAAGGGACAGUCGAGAGGUAAGCAUAAUGCAAAGAAAAAUACAUUUUUUUCUUUCAAUCUGGGAUACAUGUACGCUAUACUUCCCCCUUGAGCAAAAGCACAAAAAUCUCUUAAUACUAAGCUCAAAAUAAUAGCACGUAAAAAAAAAAACUCCAAAAGGCUUGCAGAUUAUGUAAACCUGAAGAGUCAAAUUUGCACAUCAUGAUUAUAAAUGGAAAAGCGGCAUAGGAAAAAGUUUCAAAACCACCUGAGCCAAGGAUGGGUUGAAAAGAAUAUCAGGUGCCUUGAAUCUGUCGGCUCCAAUUUCUAUUGUCCUGGAUUAAUAAACAAUGAACUUAGAUGAAAAGGAAGUGCCAGUAAGAAAAUAGAAGUACAGAGAAAGCUAUGAGAUGCGUAAGACCUAGAUUAUCAAUGGCCUUGUUAUAUAUCACCCCAGGUAAAUCAUGAAAAAGUUAAUGGAACAAGAACAACUCAUUAAGAUGUGUCACUUACAGAUUCUAAAAAUGUCUGUAUCCUGUAAAAAACUUUCAAGAUAGAAACAAGGCUUUAAUUACAAAACUUACUGUCCAUCAGGAAGCUCGUAAGAUGUCAUUGGUAUGUUCGAGUAUGAACUAUCUGAAAAGAAUAAAAACCAAGAUUAUUUGUAAGUGUUUUGUUAUUGCACUACAAUUAACAUGAUGAAACCACUAUAAAUAGGAGCACAUCUUACAUGAUCAACUAAUUAUAAAGCAUUAGCAAGAUUCCUGAACAAAGAUAGGAAGGAAGUUGGCAGUGGGUCUGCUGGAUUAAAUAAUAAAGCAAAAGAUUAUGGCAUGUGCUAAAGAGAAGCAUUAGGCUUUUUGUUGGAUCAUGACGACUUGUAAUACAGGAAUGUUUAAGUUUGCUCUAUCCCUACGCAAUUUUCACAAGUGAUAUUAUUGGUAGCUGCCCUUGUUCAUGUAGACUUUCUAAGUGCUCAGACUUGGCUCUUACUGUGUCCAGGCUCCCCUGAAAAAUAGUAUGUACACUUUCUAUACUCUUCUAUCCUAGGUUAUAUAUAUUCCCAAUAAUGAGUCAAUAAAUGCAAGAUCAAAUGAAGUUCAAACAAUGCACCAAAGCAGUACUAACCAUCAUAUGGAGUAUCAGGAGCUCGACAUACACAUUCUUUGAUAUCACUAGCAAUUACUCUCUGUUAAAAGAAAGUCACAAUUAGUAGCAGAAGAAAAAAGGGUACAAGUACAGAAUAAAUGUAGAUUUUGGUCAGUCAGUAACCUGGCAAUAGAGUUUGUAACUCUCAGUUGUAUUUGGAAAAUCAAGAUCUACUGUCUGUAAGACUCAAUGAACAAUCCAUACAAUGUAAUAAGAACCACAAGCAUAGUAAUCAGUAAAAUCAGUACAAUAUUAAGCCUUCAGAGAAAAGAAAGUAGAAAGUAAUUACAUUAGCUUCAGUUUACAACCUUGUUUAGUAUUUACUUUAACAGCAUUGCCUAUGAAAUACACAGUAUUAAAAUAGUAAAUAUCUGUAAUCACUUGAUUCCACACUGGAAAUGUCAAAAAUAUAACCAGUAAGCUUUUCCAUUGUUUAAGCUUUUAAGAAGACUUGCUAUUUAACAUCAUAAGCGUAGGUUAAAGGUACAGCCACCUCAUGCUUGCACUUCAUACACCUGUUAAAACUAAAAUAAAGCCACAUUUGUGGAGCUUUUUAGAGAUAAAAAUAAAGCAGAUCGUUCUCUGGAGACCAGAUUAGCAUUUUGCAAGGCUGUACAAUGAAAUAAAGACACUAUAAGACAACAUUUAGUAUGGCUUGAGGUGAGUUCAUUGUGAUGAUCACUUCAAAGAAAGGGGAAGAGAAGCACGUAAAGCAACAUUAUUGUUAAUUUUAGUACAGACUAUCAACUUAUUUAGUUACUACUGCAGAAGGUGGAAGAAGAAAUUUCCAAACAAUUUCUCCAGAGGAGAAUAAUGACUACAAUUGUGGUAGUGAUAUAGAGGUAAAAUGUUAAAAAACAUUCAUAAUAUAACAGGAAAAAUCACCUGAAAUUCUCCAGGCCGAAUUCCUUUCUUUUGAAUGCGUAGCGAGGUUUUAUCUGAAAUGAAAAUAGGAGAACCAAGAGAUUGUACAAGGAAAGAAGUCAGAUAAUCAUGAUCAGAUAUUUAAGAGCGUAAGUAUUAUUCAUUCAGUGAAAGAACUCACAGUAAUGCCUUUGCUUUCCAAACUUUUCAUCAAGCAAUCAGUAAGGAAUUCUCCGCCAAUAGGAGAUGUUGCCACGCCUAUGCAAAAAUAGAAACUUAGAAAAUAUCUCUAAAAGACGAAGAAAACUAUAAACUGGGCUAUCUUCACAAGAAUUGGGAAGGUGUAAAUUAGAAAGGAAUACUCCAUCCAAAUAAAUGCUCAUAUUAAUUGUUUGCAAUAGUCUAAUGAAUUUAGAUAUCCAGAUGUAUACUUCAUUCAGUAUAACCAUUGAACAUCCACUAGAAACAAAUUGAAAGCAGACAAGCCUUGAGCAAACAGUGUAGGGAAGGCUUUACAGGUUUAUUCAAACAGCAGAAACAUAUGAAUGUGUACGUCUUAUGCCACUAGCAUGCAAGAUAUGCCUAUUGCUACGUGAAUCACAAAUUUCAAUUCUUCAGACUUUGCCUACAAACAACCCCCCAAAAAUGAACUUCAAUUCUCCACUUUUUACUGACCAGUAGUUCUUUGACUACAAUAUAUCUCAUCUCAGAGCUCCACCUGUAUUAAUGCUAUUUCACCUUUGGAACUCAGAAAUCAAACCAUGUACUGCAAUAAGCUUCAAGCAUCAAAAAACUAUAUUUGUUGCAAUACCAUCGGGAUCCUUCACAUUUGCAAUGGUUACUAUGUGCAUAUCAAUCAACAGUACAACUAGACAACAACCAGUAAAUUUCCAAAUUGUGGUAGUUUUGAAGAAGAUUUCUCAAAUAGUGAGAGUUCUGAAGCAACGCAUUCACUGAAUGCGUCUUUUAAACAACAUUCAAUAAAUGUAUUCUUCCAGGGAAAAAAUGCAUAAACAAAUAAAAGAGUAUAUGCGAAUGCAUCUUUUAAGGAAACAACACAUUCACUAAGUAUGUUUUUCACCCUUUGGGAAGAGGUUUGAAAAACACCACUUUUGGGAAUUAAUUUUAAAACAUCACACCUUUUGGGAAUUUCCUAGACAACAACUGGACAACAGAAUAUGAAACUCAGGACAAAAAGGUUUAGUCAAUUAAAAAUCCAAGUUAUUCCACAAGAAGUAGCUCAAAAAAAAGCUACAAAAGACAUGGAUUAACACAUUAACAAAAUUAAAAGAGAUCACUGGAGUUGGAUAUACAAUGAUCUCACUACCAAAAACCUCCAACAUAGUAAGGUCAAAGUCAGUGCUAGUAUCCAUCUGCAGUUUCUACAUAGAUCAAGGAGUACCUUUUGAAGUACAUAUCCAUCAUGUACGGAGCAACUGUAGUUGAUCCUCCGCACUGAAUCAAUUAGCACAACCAAUAAGUGCCCAUUUUAAUCAAGGUCAAAUAAGCAUAAAAUUUAAUUGAUCGACAAGAAAAAAUAGAAAAAAGCAACUUCAUUAUGGUAGAAAACAAAUAUGAUCCAGCACAGUAGUAAAGAGAAAAGAAAACACAAGAUCGAGGGAUUGUUCUUUUGUUUUCCGCAAAACACUCUAAGGACUACAAAUGCAUGAAAAAAUUAAAGUAAGAAAUUAUUCCUCAGGAGUUUUACAGAGCUAGGAUUGAAUUGCAUGCUGAAAUUACCAUGGGACUGUUUUUCUGGUAUUUUGUUCUUCCCCAGCAAACAUUUGACAGAGAAAGUGAAGGUUCACAUCUUAUUCUUUUCAAGCAAACUCUGCAUGACGCUUCUCAAAAUGAUCCUAAAUACUAGACAAGAAUGAUUUAUAGAUCAAGAGGUUGUGCUUGUCGAAGACAAUUUCUAACAAAACCACCUGAGAUACCACUACUUGUCACACCAAUAUCUGAUGUCUGCAUCUUUUUACGAACUCCAGGAGUCAUAGAAAAGGACGAGAAUAAGGUGAAAGAAGUAUGCAUGCCAAAAUAUAGAAGCAACGUCUUGGAAAUGGGUAAACAAAUUUAACUUGGAACAUAGUAGGAUAGUGCGGUUAUAUCACACAAACUAGAAUUUAAAAUACUGCAUUGAAUGGACAGUAAAGUAGUUGGCAUGCAUAAGAAAACUCUUACCUAUCAACAACUAAAGAGGUUGCACGUCCAGAUGCAAAGGCGUAAGAACCUGGCAUUUGAAAAUUGCAGUGAAUAACUAGCAAAACACAGACAAAAUGAUUUUUUAAAAGCAUAUGAAGGGAAACCAGGCAUUUGAAAAUAGCAGCCAAUAAUUAGCAAAACAUAGACAAAUUUAUUUCUUGGAAUAUGAAGGGAAACACUGGCUGUAGCAUACUUCAUCACAGAUUGACAUAAAUAGUACAAGUACUAGUUGGAAACUGAAUAGAGGAACUCACUGCAUUUUUAGCCAAGAACAAUGCCGGAACCUGGUACUUUUCAAACAUAAUCUCUGCUGACCUGUCAGAUGCUAGUCAGUUUCUUUAGUGCCGGAGAUUAGACAUAACUUUUCCAAAAGCUAACUCAUAGAAGUAACACAGGGACACCAAAUAAUCUAAAAUCACUUUUAAAAAAAAACACAAAACAUAGUAUUGCAUACAAGAACAUGGAAAAAGGAGGCAAGAUUUAGCAGAUUCUACUUAGGUGCUACAGCCCAAGAGAAGAGCAUUUUGUUUAGACAGCCACAUGGAAUACCACCACUCCUUUCUUAUGUCUCUCAAAAUUAUGGGAAAUGGAAGAAAAGUACUUACAUCUCAAAUACUGAAAUCUCAAACUGAAAUCUCAAAGAAGAGAGACAAAAAUAACCAGAGCUUACCUUGCAAAGACAGACUUAUCCACCCAUAACCCCCAAAAUUAUAUGAGAAAAUUUAACUUAUAAAUCAAGCAUCACCCUAUAUUAGAAAAUUAGUAACACUAAUCUUUUGGAGCAAGAAGCAAAAGGACCUUCCAGGUCAUAUGUAUGAGAGAUGUCAUGCAAGUAAUAAAACAUAUAGGCAUAUAAAGGACUAAAGAAGGAUCCAUAACGGGAUUCUGAAUUUUGAUUAUCAUCUCACUUUUCUCUCUGUGUUGAGAAUUAGCACAUGGCUCAGCAAGCAGCAUGGGAUGCUCUUAGGAUCAAUCAAGAGGCAUUCCCUACAAAUGACAAAGCAAGUAUAGUAUGAAUUAUGAAUUAUAAUAUUCAUUGAAUGGUAGAGAUGGCUGUACCAUUCAAAAACAAUGCGGAGAUGCACAAUUAAGGAAAAAAGGAAAAACACAUUUUUCCACAAACAGUGCAUGACAAUGGAAAGGAUGGGAUGUAUUUAUCCAUAGCUGAAGACAAUACACCAGCACAUAAAAGCUCCCCUUUUCUCCUGUCUUCUAGUAAAUCUAAAUGAAUUCUAGAAUCGAAAACAAUUAUUCACUAAAGUGGUAUCAGUCUGACGAUGAGAAGAAGUACAAGAUUAGUUACAUAUUUAUCUAUGACCUCCAAGAUGAGAAUCAAAAUAUUAAAGAUUUGAACAGAGCUGGAUGUGUUGAAAUUAUUUAAGUUGAAUUGGCUAUUACUCCCGCCAAUAUGCUAUUCAUAAUUUUCCCUAUUGCUAAGGUCUGAUCCAUUUAGUAAGCAAACCAUUGUUGCAUCCCUUGUAACUACUAAGCAGGUGAUGCAGCACAGAGAUUCCAUAUGCUUAGAAUACAAUUUGAACCAAAUGAAUAUGCAAAUUUGAUUACUUGAAGGCAUGAUCCCAUAUGCUUUCAACAAUUUCCCAAUCAGCAACUAUCCCAUCCUUAAUUGGAGAUAGGACCUGAGAAAAUAGAAUAUCACAAGCUCAAUAAGAAAAGAGGUUGAACGUGCAAGCCAAAACCUAUCUAAAAGAUGUUCUUCUGACUGACCUCCACGUGAUCCCGGCGGAAUCCCAAGGCUUGGGAUCCUACGUAUAACUUUCGCUUAGCCUUGGAUUUAGAAUCUGGAACAGAUCCAGAAUUCUUGUCUGGAUUAUCCGGCUCAUCAACUUCCAUUUGAUCAAUUGAUCCAAUAACCUUAUACAAUACAAAUCUUAUGUCAGCUGUUUACUGUGCAUCCAUUAGACGCUACAUUCACCAGUAUGUUUUAGAAGCAUCAGUUAUCCUGUAUUUAAUCUCAUCAAGCUUCACAUUCACGAUAAAGAAAGUCUUCAUUAAGAUUCUAGAACCAAUGUAACAACCUGAUAAAUGAUCAAAUAGUUGAUGCAUCAUUUUACCAAAACAAGACCCUUUCCUUCAAAGACCCCUCGUGUAGCAAUAUGGUGAAUAUCAGAAAAGUGAAGUCCAUAAUUCUGCCAUAUGUUCGACAUUUAAACUUCAAUCUUUAGUAUAGAUCCCCUUGCAAUCUAUAGCAAGUUGGCACUUCAAUUUUCCUUCCAUGCAUAAAAUCCAUUUUAUUCACUGCCUUGUCAAAAAAAAUCUCCUUAAAGAGCCAAAAGAAAGUAAAUUGAAGAAAAAUUAGCACUAUCCACAAUGGCAAAAGUAAAACAACACAACAACUUAAUCCCCUGUAUAUGUUCACAAUCAACUUCUUAGGUUGGUCUGUCCUAUGUUAGUUCUUUUUUCUUAAACUGUAGGUUCAGUUCCUUGUAACCAUGAUUCCACGUUCCAACCUUUAAAAUCUCCCAGUGUAAGAUGUUCACAUCCAACAAACGAGGACCAAAAGAAAAAGAAGAACGACGACUAUCAAAAUCAAACUUUAAUGGUUACAUUAAGAAGAAACUCGAAUGAGAUUAACAUAAAUCAGGUGCAAAAGAAGGUAAAACAAAAAAUUCAAACUUGGAGAAAAAUUCAGCUCCAGAAUAGUAAAAUUCUAGCCACAUUGCAAAAUCAUGAUAAUAAAUGCAGUAAAUUCGCGAAUAUAUUGAGCUGAAAUAGACUACUAGCAAUGGCUUACCGAAGGAAAGACGGCUUUCGGAGCAUCUUCGCCGCAUAACCAGCUUUGCAAGUGUGUGAGCCUAAGUCCACCACUAUAGCUGAUACCUCAUCUUUUUUUUUAUAUACAUAGCAGAGAAAAACGCACGUAAAUAAAACAAAUUUAAACCGGUACAUAGUGAAGUCAGUGCUAGCGAGUGCCUGAGCCUGUAAGUGUGUGUUCUACGUGAGUGAGAAAGAUAGAACGAUACUACCUCCGCCGUACAUUGUUGCAGGGCUAAAUUGGGCGGAGUUCCGAUUUGAUUGGGGAGUUUGGUCUUUGGUUUCUUUGCUUUCCGAGCUUCGUACUCUACUGCGAGGGGGGCUUUGGUUGGGGUUUUGAAAAUAAUCAGGCAGUAGAACAAUAGCGAGUCUUCUACUCUUCUUUCGGCUGGUCGGAUCAGUAACGGGUCGGGUCGGGUGUGUUUAAUUUUGAAGAUUUUUUUAGUGGCAAAGAAUUGGGUGAUGAAUUCCUUUUUUUUUUACCCAUAAAGAGAAUUUUUUUUCCCAAAAGUAAAAAAGUUUUUGGGUUACCUAUUAGUAUUUUAACUAUAAGCAACAAAAUAACAAUUAUAUGAGUAUGACCCCAUUAAUAUGGUAUUGAUAGAAUGGCCUCAUUCUUCUUACAUAGUGUCUUCUUUUCCUUCUCUCCUAAACUCCCAAACCAAGCCAUACUUUACUCUCUCCUUUUGGGCUGGGAUAAAAUUAAAUGGGAUAAUUGCAGAAACCUCUCCUAAGGUUUCUGACAUUUGCACUGACCUUCUCUGUGGUUUGAAAAAUUAUACUGAUCUCCCUUGAUGUUACUAAUCCUUUACAAAUUUAGUCCAAAUGAUUAAAAUAUUAUUUUAGGAAGUGAAAUUAGAAUUUUGUACCAGAUUUGCCCUUUGUGCUACAUAUCUAAUGAAUGACAAAGUACUAUAAAUCAAUUAACAAUUAAUAAAUUUUAAGGAGUAUAAUUUAUGGGCAAACACGCAUUACUCAUUUAAAGUACCAACUCUUUACCAGUAUUUUAUUUUCAAAUAUUUAAUUUAUGAUAAAUAUAUCAAUAUUUGUAAGUAACAUUCAAAAAUUGUUAUAGUAAUAUUCUUGCAAAAAGAAAAUCAAUAGGUUAUUUAUUUAAUAUAAAUUAAAUAUUAUUUUAAAAAAUAAAUGACCCAUAAAGUAUUAAUUUUUUAUGACUUUUAUCCAUUACACGAGUAAAGUAUUCGCUCUUUAUGUGCAUUUUAUUCUGAAUCAUUUAAUUAAUGUUAAAUACAUAAAUGUUUGUAACUAAAAUUGAAAAAGUGUUAUAUUAAUAUUUUUAUGAAAGAGAGAUUGGUAGGUUUUGUAUUUAACAAAAAUUAAAUAUUUGAAAGUAAAUACAGGUCUGUAUUUGAGCAUAAAUAUUUGUAUUAAAUUAAAUGUUAAAGGUACUUUAAAUAGUUACCGGCUCUUUAUAGACAAACACGCAUUACUCAUUUAAAAUAUCGGUUUUUUACGGAUAUUUUACUUUCAAACAUUUAAUUUAUGAUAAAUAUAUCAAUGUUUGUUAGUAAAAUUCAAAAAGUGUUACAGUAAUAUUCUUGAAAAAAGGAAAUCGAUAAGUUAUUUAUUUAAUAUAAAUUAAAUAUUUUUUUAAAAAAAUGACCCAUAAAGUAUUAAUUUUUUAUGGUUUUCAUCCAUUACACGAGUAAAGUAUUAGCUCUUUAUGGGUAUUUUAUUCUGAAUCAUUUAAUUUAUGUUAAAUACAUAAAUGUUUGCAACUAAAAUUGAAAAAGUGUUAUAUUAAUAUUUUUAUGAAAGAGAGAUUGGUAGUUUUUAUAUUUAACAAAAAUUAAAUAUUUGAAAAUAAAUACAAAUAUGUAUUUGAGUGUAAAUAUUUGUAUUAAAUUAAAUGUUUGAAAGUAAAAUACCCAUAAAGAGCCGAUACUUUAAAUAGAUAAUGCAUAUUUGCCUAUAAACUAUAUUCCUUAAAGUUUAUUAAUUUGUAAUAUUUUGUCAUUCAUUGGACAUGUAAUACAAAGGACAAAUUUGGUAAAAAAUUCUAAUUACAUUCCCUAAAACAAUAUUUUAAUCGUUUGGACUAAAUUUGCAAAGGAUUAGUAACCUCAGGAAGGUCAGUAUAAUUUUUCAAAUCACAGAGGAGGUCAAUGCAAAUGUCAGAAACCUCAAGGGAGGUUUCUGCAAUUAUCCCAAAUUAAAUUUUGGGAGUAAAUCUUUGAGAUCCAAGAAUAACAAGUUGGAGAAAACUGCCAUAUAGAGAAUUGGGCUUCAAUUUUCACAUCUCCACUAAAGUACGUUUGCUGACCCAAAAAAACGAAACUUUGUAGACGGACCAAAUGAGCCAGCUAACGAUGAAUUUAGAAAAUACAUAAUCAUAAUAUAUAUAUAUAUUCGUGUGCAUGCCUCAUUCAGAACCAAAUACUCAUAUAUAACCCCCAGCAAAUGGCCAAUAAGGGAGGUGAUCAUAGAUUAUUCAUACAGAGAGGAGAUUAAGAUAGGGUAGCUGGUAUAUUGGCACUGAUACCCUCAUCUUGGUCUACAGAUUCAAAGUCCUAGUGCAUGUCGACUGAUUGAGAUGCUAGCUUUCAAGCUUCUAUAUACAUGUGCAAGUCCUAGUAAUGCAGAUCCAUUACAACUCCCCAAAGUAAUGAAAUCUGAU